AGAGAAACUGUGGUGCUGCGUCAGAGGGGAAGUAUAGCAAGAUAAUGUUGGUUAUGUCGACGAAGUUGAUAACGUAAAUUGGCCUCUGUAAAGAGUUUCAAAGCUGACGUUGGAGCGAAUGGUAAAACCAAAAUUAAUAAAACCAAAGUUAUCUUGUCGAGGAGGAGUUUCAGUUCUGUUAUAAAAAGCCGAUAAGAAACUUACAGGUGCUUGCAUGUUGACCACUGUGGUACUUUGUUGGACAUGUUGGGUGGGCUGUGGAGGAUAGCCUGGUUGCUGCGUUUGCGGGUAACCAUAUUGAGGAGAAUACCCAGGCUGAGGCUGCUGCCCAGGCUGUGCUGGGUAACCAGGCUGUGCUGGGAAGCCAGGCUGUGCUGGGUAACCAGGCUGUCCUGGGUAACCUGACUGUGCUGGGUAACCGGGCUGAGCAGUACCACUGAGUUGAGGUUGGUAGGCUGGUUGAGCCGUAACAGGAGCCUGUGGUGUGUAGGGUGGAGGAUUAUCUGAAAACGGCAUGUUUUAAAGAUAUCUUGAUCAGUUAUGAUUGAACUCGUACAUCACAACACUGCUCAGUGGACAGUGUCCAUUGAAAGUGGUCAGAGUCGCCUUGAAUUUAAAAAGGGUGCCUUGAGUUUAACGGGUCAGUAAAGUUGCAGCAAUUUGAGUCAGUAUAUGAGAGUCGCACCUGGGUUCACUUGUGUGUUCUGUUCCAUGUUCAGUUUUAUUCUGAAAAGAAAAAAUAUACAUGAUUUUAGUAAAUAGGAACGAACAGCCAGGUAUACCAUGGUUAAGCAGUAUUAUUUUCUUGGGCUGUUUAUCCCAUGAUUACCCUUCAACGAUUUUCAUGUCCUCAUUUUCAAGUCUCCGCGAUUUGUGGAAAGGCGUUUGACUGUUCGUCUAAAGGAAGGAUAUUUUGAAUCAGACUCAAGGAAUAACUCGAACGGCAAGGAAGAGUCGAGAGAAAUAGAUGCCCUUCGACCACUAUUGAAUCUGAUUGAGGUUUAUGAGAUCUGACUCUUUUGUUUGGUUAUUGUGUUGCUAAUAUUGAAAAGUCGAUGUAAAUCUUGUGGAGAAUUUUGAGCAAAGUAGAGGAUAGUAACGCUUUUAAACUUUGGUAAAAUUUAUACAGAACGUGAGAAAACCAUAACUGUAAUAUUUACAUUGGUUUUAUAUUUACUGUUUCAUGAUGGCUUGUCAAGCAAGUAUAAUUAAUUGUUUUCGUGAGCUAAAUCUGUGUUCAAUCGGCUAUCGCCAAUCGCGGCAUCAUCGCAUCAUGCCGAUUCAUUGUCGAAAACUCUCAACCUUAGUGGUUAUAUUUUGUUUUUCCAGAUUAUUGUGAUAGGGUGUUUGAAGCUUAAACUUCCUCAUGUCCUACACAAGCCAGAAUCGUCAUCCUCGACUUGGAAGAAUUAGACUUAGCGAGUAUGUUACUUAUCGAAAGAAAUCUUGGGGAACUGGCACUAUGCCCGACAUUACAGGGCUUUGCUUGUAUUGUUCAUUAUGAUAAUGCGCUGGAGAAAAUGCCUGAAUAUUUGAAAACGGCGUCGAAGGUGGUCGAGCGAACGAGGAUAUUUUGGAUUAUGAAGAAGCACUGGAUUUUCGUCACUCGCUCCAAGGAGACACGAUGUUAUUUCCGAAGGACCGCUCGCGAGAGAAUCAAGGAAUACUUUGAAAGUGUUUCUGUGCUUCAUGGAUGCAUUCGCCGUUUUCUACUUUGCUUAUAAGUAUCUAUUAAUUUCGCGUGGGAAUCAAACUGAAAGCUUUCAUAAUUUUUACCUAGUUUUUGCUUGAUAUAAGUUCGUAUAUUUAUCUUAAAUCGUUCAAAAGUAAUCGGAAAUCAACUGAAUGCUCCGUCCAACACCUAGCUUAGAGUGCCACUUCUCAAUUUGCAAAUAUCUAAUAUCUUGCACGCCGUUUAAGCAGAGACGCAUGAGAUACAGAAAGUAAAUUUAUGAACCACGUGCAAGUUUGUUAGAUUCAUAAACUUUUAGUAUUUCUCAAAGUGAUCAGUAGAACCCUCACAAGGUCUAAAGAUUUGUUUCUUAGGGGAAGCUUUUUUAGAGGAAAUCAAUACCCGGACUCUUGAACAAGACAUCAUAUUUGCAUUUUACUGUAGUUUA